rnacentral:rRNA from 1 species
UACGUAGGUGGCAAGCGUUACUCGGAAUUACUAGGCGUAAAGCGCAGGUAGGCGGUUGGGCAAGUCUGUAAUGAAAUCUCCCGGCUUAACUGGGAGAGGUUUGGAGAUACUGCCUGACUCGAGUGUGGGAGAGGUAACUGGAAUUCCUGGUGUAGCGGUGAAAUGCGUAGAGAUCAGGAGGAACACCUAAGGCGAAAGCAGGUUACUGGCCCAAUACUGACGCUGAGCUGCGAAAGCUAGGGGAGCAAACAGG